rnacentral:rRNA from 1 species
GAUGAACGCUGGCGGCGUGCUUAACACAUGCAAGUCGAACGGAAAGGCCCAAGCUUGCUUGGGUACUCGAGUGGCGAACGGGUGAGUAACACGUGGGUGAUCUGCCCUGCACUUCGGGAUAAGCCUGGGAAACUGGGUCUAAUACCGGAUAGGACCACUUCUUGGAUGUUGUGGUGGAAAGUUUUUUCGGUGUGGGAUGAGCUCGCGGCCUAUCAGCUUGUUGGUGGGGUAAUGGCCUACGAAGGCGUCGACGGGUAGCCGGCCUGAGAGGGUGUACGGCGACUUGGGACUGAGGUACGGCACAGACUGCUACGGGAGGCAGCAGUGGGGAAUAUUGCACGAUGGGCGCAAGCCUGAUGAAGAGACGCCGCGUGGGGGAUGACGGCCUUCGGGUUGUAAACUCCUUUCGCUAGGGACGAAGCGUUUUGUGACGGUACCUGGAGAAGAAGCACCGGCUAACUACGUG